GGCUCAGAUUGAACGCUGGCGGCAUGCCUUACACAUAGCAAGUCGAACGGCAGCACGGGGCAACCUGGUGGCGAGUGGCGAACGGGUGAGUAAUGCAUCGGAACGUGCCAUUGAGUGGGGGAUAACGUAGCGAAAGUUGCGCUAAUACCGCAUAUUCUGUGAGCAGGAAAGAGGGGGAUCGCAAGACCUCUUGCUUUAGGAGCGGCCGAUGUCGGAUUAGCUAGUUGGUGAGGUAAAGGCUCACCAAGGCGACGAUCCGUAGCGGGGUCUGAGAGGAUGAUCCGCCACACUGGGACUGAGACACGGCCCAGACUCCUACGGGAGGCAGCAGUGGGGAAUUUUGGACAAUGGGCGCAAGCCUGAUCCAGCCAUGCCGCGUGAGUGAAGAAGGCCUUCGGGUUGUAAAGCUCUUUCGGUGGGGAAGAAAUUGCACAGGAUAAUACCUUGUGUAGAUGACGGUACCCGCAUAAGAAGCACCGGCUAACUACGUG
rnacentral:rRNA from 1 species